AGGACGAACGCUGGCGGCGUGGAUUAGGCAUGCAAGUCGAGCGACGGCCCCUCGGGGUACGGAGCGGCGAACGGGUGAGUAACACGUGAGUAACCUACCCCAUCAUUCCGGAUAAUUGGCCGAAAGGCCUUGUAAUACGGGGGAGGAUCUUGUUUGGGCAUCCUUACGAGAUCGAACGAGCAAUCGGUGCUGGGAGGGACUCGCGGCUUAUCAGGUAGUUGGUGAGGUAACGGCUCACCAAGCCUACGACGAGUAGCUGGU
rnacentral:rRNA from 1 species